rnacentral:rRNA from 1 species
GUAGGUGGCAAGCGUUGUCCGGAAUUAUUGGGCGUAAAGCGCGCGCAGGCGGUUCUUUAAGUCUGAUGUGAAAGCCCACGGGCUCAACCGUGGAGGGUCAUUGGAAACUGGAGAACUUGAGUACAGAAGAGGGAAGCGGAAUUCCACGUGUAGCGGUGAAAUGCGUAGAGAUGUGGAGGAACACCAGUGGCGAAGGCGGCUUUCUGGUCUGUAACUGACGCUGAGGCGCGAAAGCGUGGGGAGCAAACAGGAUUAGAUACCCUGGUAGUCCACGCCGUAAACGAUGAGUGCUAAGUGUUAGGGGGUUUCCGCCCCUUAGUGCUGCAGCUAACGCAUUAAGCACUCCGCCUGGGGAGUACGGCCGCAAAGGCUG